AAAACUAGCUAGUCCUUUGGGUAUGAAACCCGUUUGGGCAAGAGUAGUACUAGGAUGGGUGACCUCCUAGGAAGUCCUCGUGAAAGGGUUUC
rfam:Triticum aestivum genome assembly, contig: Triticum_aestivum_CS42_TGACv1_scaffold_032108_1BL